rnacentral:lncRNA from 1 species
UAAGAAUCUUGUAAGGUGAUGUUUGACGCUAGAAGGAGCAGGAAACAGGAGGAGCUUUUGAAUACCAAAGCUUAUAAAUGGCUCAUUCUUUAGUCCAGUUUUCUCUUGAUUUCUCAUAGCCUUAUUUUACAUGAAACUUUGAUAUUCUAAGAUGCUGAUUACAAGUCUGUCUGUCUUUUGCUGGAGAAUCAGUCACUGUCUGUAUGAGUAACUUGGUCUUGAGAGAAUCUGGAUGGAGUAAGCUGCUUUGGCUCAGAUACUUCCUUUGGACCAAUAAGCUGUGCAUAAUCCUUAGGGAUGACAACCUCAGGAAAAAAAAUUCUGAAAGUGGUUAGGGUAGAAUAGGCAAUGAAACAUGUUUAAUAUACCAUUUUAAGAAAAAGGAGUCUUAUUAUAAGGACUCAUAAAGAGGAUAAAGAACCAAAUCUAGAAAGCUGUUGGGUACCAAGGCAGCUCU